GGAUCGGGCAGGGAUUCUGCCUUGCGUUUGUGCUUGGUGGGCUGCAAGGACCUGGAGCCAAGACCUCAUUUCUCAAGAAUCCCUGUGGCGGAAGGACACCUUCAUCCAAGCAGGCAAGACCUGGAGAUUUUGGGUAUCUCAUGUUCUGUGUCCAGCUGAGAGGAGUUUGGAUGGCAUCACCACAUACAGCUCAAGCUGUGCAGUGUGUUCUGUGUUGUGCUAGGACAGUCUGGCUGCUGAGAGCAGGAGUGCAGAGGGCAGCUGCCAGGAGUGACUGAUCAGAGACGGCAUAAAGAAAGUGUGUAAGAAACCCCCACAUGCAUCAGGCUUUGGAGUGAGACCAGCCCUUUUCUCUGAGGUGCCACACAAGUGCCAGUGAUGGCAAAAGCUGGUGGU